rnacentral:rRNA from 1 species
GAGACGCUAGCGGCAGGCCUAAUACAUGCAAGUCGAGCGGCAAGUUGAGUAGUAAUACUUAACCUAGAGCGGCGCACGGGUGCGUAACGCGUAUGCAACCUACCUUUUACUGGGGGAUAGCCCGGAGAAAUCUGGAUUAAUACCCCAUGGUAUCUACGAAUCGAUUGGUUUGUAGCUUAAAGAUUUAUCGGUAAGAGAUGGGCAUGCGUCUGAUUAGCUAGUUGGCGGGGUAACGGCCCACCAAGGCGACGAUCAGUAGGGGUUCUGAGAGGAAGGUCCCCCACACUGGCACUGAGAUACGGGCCAGACUCCUACGGGAGGCAGCAGUAGGGAAUAUUGGGCAAUGGUCGCAAGACUGACCCAGCCAUGCCGCGUGCAGGAUGAAGGCCCUCUGGGUUGUAAACUGCUUUUAUCUGGGAAGAAAAAGUCCAUGCGUGGAAAAUUGCCGGUACCAGAUGAAUAAGCACCGGCUAACUCCGUGCCAGCAGCCGCGGUAAUACGGAGGGUGCAAGCGUUGUCCGGAUUUAUUGGGUUUAAAGGGUGCGUAGGCGGCUGAAUAAGUCAGCGGUGAAAGACUUCGGCUUAACCGGAGCAGUGCCGUUGAUACUGUUUAGCUUGAGUGUUGGAGGGGUACAUGGAAUUGAUGGUGUAGCGGUGAAAUGCAUAGAUACCAUCAGGAACACCGAUAGCGAAGGCAUUGUACUGGCCAACAACUGACGCUGAGGCACGAAAGUGUGGGGAUCGAACAGGAUUAGAUACCCUGGUAGUCCACACCGUAAACGAUGAUUACUCGCUGUUAUGCUGUAUAGUGUAGC